UGGGUUUUUCAUGUUUAGUGAUUUGGUUAAUUGGGUUUUAAUUUGUUUCAUGCUUUUAUUAGUGACUAGUUUUGAUUUUGAGUUUGAUAAAUUGCUGUGAUUAUUGCAUGAUCUGGGGAUUAAAACAAAAACACACUUUCUUGAUCUGGGGAUUUUAGUUUAAUUUGAUUUAUUGUUUUUUCUUAUAAUUAACUUUUAAUUUGUUUCAUGCUUUUAUUAAUAAGUAGUUUUGAUUUUGGUUUGAUGAAUUGCUGGGAUUAUUUCCUGAUCCGGGGGAUUAAAAGAAAAGGACACCUGUUUGAUCUUGGGGAGUAAAAUAAAAAAGGCACCUGUUUGAAUGGGAGGUAGUGAAGCACCAUCACAAACCCCAGAUCUUUUAGUAGAGAAGGUAAUUGUCCAGUUUUUAGAUUCUGGGACCUGCGUGAAAUAACAUAUAGUUCUGGUAUUGAUCUGGGACGCUGGUGAGCUUGAGCGCCUUUUUGGGCCUUUUAGGGUUUUGUUUCGUCAUGAACUCACGGGGCCCACGGGGAGGGCAUCCUUUUCCUGUUUAAAAACAAGAUACUCAAGAUGAGCAGAUUGCAGUGAUCUGGAGAGAAACAAUGAGAGCGACCUUUGUAGAUGAGAUGAUUGGGCGAAAAGCCUUUUUAGGGCUUCUGCAGCCGCUUUCACCUUCAACAACAAAUGGGUAUUGCGAACUUUCCUGUUUGUAUUUUUACUGUUCGAUCUUCCAGUUCCAAAUUCUCAUACCCUAACUUGCACUGCUUCUGCAUCUAGCAUUAGAUUAAAGUUUUUGUUUUUGCUAUAAAAAAACGGUGUGUUUGGUGGUAAUACCAAUCACAACAGUUUUAGAUGACUUUAUAUCAUUCAGUCAGAUGGUUGGCUUGAACCCUAGCUCAUCCAUGGUGAAAUUUGGCUGGUUAUUAGGGUGGAUUGUGCGGAAGAAACAGUAUAUGUAGUUAAAAUAUAAAGGUCAACCAGAGUUGCGCUUCUGGCUUUCAUAGUCAUAACAUCUUGAUCAAUGGCCAUUGUAAGAGUAGAAGGAUCCAUGAAGCAAUAACUCUCUUUGCUGAAAUGUGCGACCAAAUAGAAUCUUGAUAUUUCAUUCUUACAGUGCCCAUUGAUUAAGAUGUUAUAACAUUGUUCUCAAAGGAUUUCUUCUCAAAAACUGCACAUCAUGUGUUGUACAAGAUCUCAACGAAAUGGUUGAUAGCAGAUCGCUAUGUAUUCAUCCACAGUAAGCAUGCUAAUGGAUGUGGUAUCAGAUGGAAAAAUUAUACUGUGUUUCUGUGAGGAGUUUCUCAAAAUGGGAAUUUCAAUAGAAAUAUCAUUUUCAGCCCAGCAGUGUUGUGGUGGUCUUUCCUCAAAACAGUUAGGCUGCUAUAACGCAUGUAAGUUAUUGUUACCCAAUUUUCCAUCGUAAGAACAGUACAAUCUACUAUUUCCUCUUCAUAUGGUGACAUGUCUUGGCUCUAGGUCAUGCUGUAGGUUCUGCUGUACAUAUAGUAAAAAGUGAUCGGUUAUUAGACUCUGUAAUAAAAGUGGUAAAAGUUUAUUGUUGUUGGUGGUUGUUUCUGAUAAAUUUUCAUGUUUAAGUACUCUUUAAGGGUUUAUUUUGGGGACUACUUUUGUCGAACUUGAAAGAAAACAACCUCUGCCAAUUCUCUACACUUCUCCUUUAAUCUUGAUCUCUUGGCCUAUAACUUGUUUAAGGUACGAAGAUUGAUGAUUUAAUGAUGACAUCUGAUUCUGUUGAUUGGGGAUUCCUUUUCUAUUUUAUUUUAGCCUCUUGAAUUCUUUUUGAAGUUUGAUGAUCGAGACCAUGUUGCUUUACAGAAUACAGAUUCCCACUUCUGCGUCUCAAUUACUGUGUCCUGGUGAGAUACUUCUCAUGUGUGAAGAGAUUAAGUCAAGUUCAAGAAGAACCCCUUUCCCCUUGUGAUUGUGUGGUUAUCAUGUAAAUUCUCUCAAGAAUUCUUGUCAGUAAUUUCAUCUUGUCAUGUGAAUUCGCUUCUCAAUAAUUCUUCCCUAACUUAUUUAAUCUCUGAUACUGUUCUAGUGCUCUUGAUACAAAGAAGUGUUUGGGCUGUAUUCAGCACCUGUGGUAAUUCUAUUACUUGGGUAAGUCUCGAACGACA
rnacentral:misc_RNA from 1 species